AAGCAUUGUGGUAAAGAUAAAUGGCUAUGUUCGUGCGGCACCACGUUUUCGAGGAAAGAUAAGCUGUUUGGUCACAUAGCUCUUUUCCAGGGUCACACUCCAGCAAUUCCCCUGGAUGAAACUAAAGGACCCAUUGCCCCAUCUGACCCUGGAGAUGGCAGUGAAGCAACAAAUGUGGUCGGAAGCAUGAAUUUUGAAAAUGGGGUGGAUGUCAAAGGCAGCCUUGAUGAUCCUGCUGCUUAUUUCUCACCAUUGAACUUUGAGACAUGUAACUUUGGUGGGUUUCAUGAGUUCCCUCGACCGGCAUCCGAUGAUUCGGAGACUUCAUUGGCAUUUCUCCUUUCAGGAACGUGUAGUU
rnacentral:lncRNA from 1 species